CGACCUGAGGAGAGAAGAAUUUAUAUGAAGGAGAUCCGCACUAUGAGAAUCGGAUUCUUUCUAAUGAAACUUACCGGCACACGACAGUAUUACUCUUCGGCCAUAUCGAUCGCGUUCCAUCAACGGGACCAAGUACCCAGCGUCGACUAUGGCCUCGAUGUCCGGAUCUUCGAUGUCAAGAUUCUGGAACCAGUUCGGAUACAUCUGUCGGAUGGUCAGCGUUUGAUGCUCGGAUGCUUCUGGAUCCAGUGUCUGACUUGAUUCAACGCCUCGAUCCUCGUGGCAUCGUCUUCGCGGAGUUCGUGGCGAGCGAUCAUCCUCGUGGCCUCGCUCAGCUCGCAGCCGUAAUCCUCUUCAGUUCGCUUGGCCAUCGCCGCUGGAAAGAAAACCAAGAUAGGACCCGCUUUCUCCGCGACCCGGCCCGCGGCUCUCCGGUCUCCCCACCAGAUACUCUUCCUACCACUUGCGCUGGUACUCCUUCUCUCACCUCUUCAACCUUCAAGUGCUGUCCCCUUGUCCCCCUGCGCUGUUCCCGCGUCCCCGUUUCGAUCGUUCGAAUUUCAUGCGAACUAUCAGACGAUUGCGAGAUGCGACUAGUUCUUACGCCACUAGACCGUACAGGAGAAAGCCGCUCAUCGAUCCACUUACAAUAGAUCCAAAUUGUCCUCGCUUCGUCUACUGUGCAGCACUUCCGGAGAUCAGCGGUGCAAAUCUUUCUCUAACUAUAUUUUCACGUCCGCGUUAUGCGCGUUUGAUGGUGAACGUUCUCCGGUGUCUUUCAACCACGCACUCUUUGUAAUCGCAAUUUUAAAAUCACACAUGCCAUUUAAAUUCAAAUGUAACUACGAGGUAGCACUGUUCUAAAGAUUGUUCCGAUCGAUGUUGAAAACGGAUUUGUGAAACGGGUCGCGACGGGGAACGUUGCACCUCGACCAACUUGGAUCCGAGUAACCCGCUUGCUUGCUCGUCCGAUCAUUUUAAAGCCAGAUACGCUCUUACCGCUCCUUCCGCUUUUGCCACUCUUACCGCCGCCGCUGCUCUCGUUCUAGCCAGUACGUGUAACCACCUUCCUUCCUCUCCUCUCUUUCAAUUCGGUUUUCAAGUAUGACACGCUCUAAUCAGACGGUAUACUCCCUCGCGUUUCGAAACGGGUCUGUUAUCGGGAAUUUGUUCUAUCCUGAUGAUAAUCGAAAUGAAACACGAGCGCAGAUACUUUUCAAAUUUGAUUCAAGGAUAGAUCGUGUCAAAAAGGACAAAGUUCAGCCGUCCGUUUUGGAGCGUUCAAGAUAUUUUGAUCGCAUUUCAUCUGAAGUACGAUCGGAUUCUACUUUUGAUUAAUUGACCGGAUGACUCAUUCACGAAAAGUCUUAACUUCGCCUUAACCGAGGGAUUCGCUUUCUUUUCGUAAUUCUCCGUGUUACUUUCACCGCGGGAUCCACUUUCGGUCGGGUCUACCGAGCAUCGAGGCUACGUUACAGACUUACGAAACGAUAUUUAUGCAAAAGGCCAACGGAACCUGCCGAGUUAUAUCUAUGCAUUUACUAUGAUAGAAUCGAUCGUAAGCGCGCAUUCGAUACGGUGUAUACAAUAAAACUUGAUCCCUCGGGGGAAUAGUUAGGCACA